rnacentral:rRNA from 1 species
GGAAGCAGCAGUAGGGAAUCUUCCACAAUGGACGAAAGUCUGAUGGAGCAAUACCAUGUGAACGAUGAAGGUCUUUUUGAUUGUAAAGUUCUUUUAUGAGGGAUAACAACUGAUAGUACCUCAUGAAUAAGUGACAGCAAACUAUGUGCCAGCAGCUGCGGUAAUACAUAGGUCGCAAGCAUUAUUCGGAUUUAUUGGGCGUAAAGCAAGCGCAGGCGGAUGUGUAAGUUCUGUGUUAAAAGUAGCUACUUAAUAGUUGUUUGCACCGAAUACUACAUGUCUAGAAUGUGGUAGGAAGUUUUGGAAUUAAACAUGGAGCGGUGGAAUGUGUAGAUAUGUUUAAGAACACCGGAGGCGAAGGCGAAAACUUAGGCCAUAAUUGACGCUUAGGCUUGAAAGUGUGGGGAGCAAAUGGGAUUAGAUACCCCAGUAGUCCACACCGUAAACGAUGGGUAUUAGGUAUUGGGGUUUGAGCCUCAGUGCUGUAGCUAACGUGUUAAAUACCCCGCCUGGGUAGUACAUAUGCAAAUAUGAAACUCAAAGGAAUUGACGGGGACCUGAACAAGUGGUGGAGC